rnacentral:rRNA from 1 species
GGACCCGCACAAGCGGUGGAUGAUGUGGUUUAAUUCGAUGCAACGCGAAAAACCUUACCCACCUUUGACAUGUACGGAAUUCGCCAGAGAUGGCUUAGUGCUCGAAAGAGAACCGUAACACAGGUGCUGCAUGGCUGUCGUCAGCUCGUGUCGUGAGAUGUUGGGUUAAGUCCCGCAACGAGCGCAACCCUUGUCAUUAGUUGCUACAUUUAGUUGGGCACUCUAAUGAGACUGCCGGUGACAAACCGGAGGAAGGUGGGGAUGACGUCAAGUCCUCAUGGCCCUUAUAGGUGGGGCUACACACGUCAUACAAUGGCUGGUACAAAGGGUUGCCAACCCGCGAGGGGGAGCUAAUCCCACAAAGCCAGUCGUAGUCCGGAUCGUAGUCUGCAACUCGACUACGUGAAGUCGGAAUCGCUAGUAAUCGUGGAUCAGAAUGUCACGGUGAAUACGUUCCCGGGUCUU